AUCACAUCAGCACCCCCCAGCACCUCUUUUCUUUUAAAACUUCAGUUCACGGACUUGACAAAAAUCUAUUUUGCAUCUGCCAUGAACUCACUCCACUAAGAGCUGAUCUACCACCAUCACAUCAACAACCUGCCCCAGGUGCGUCAAUCUUGGUGUCUGUGGAUUUUUGGAGAGUGACAAGCAGGGCUGCAGCUCAGCAGAUGAAUGAUCCCUCUUCGCGGACAACUAGGACUGAGCAGCAUUCUUUCACUUUUUGCCUUGAACAUGGACUGUGAAAUAGCAUAAUUAAAACUCUGCUUUAUGGACAGAGAGGAAAUAGUUGUAACUCCUGUACAGUUUGUUAGCUAGACGUAGUUUAAAAUAUUUCACUACUUUUUCACUGUUUAACUGCAUUGCAAUAGGAGCUCCAAACAAAUUUUUCU